UGGGAUGUAGCUCAGUGGCAAAGCGUUUGCCUAGCAAGCACAAUGUCCUGGGUUCAAUCCCCAGUACCAA
rnacentral:tRNA from 1 species